rnacentral:lncRNA from 1 species
CAUCAAUAAAGAUAGACAAAAGACAAAAGGACAUUCAAUAUAAGGUACGAAAUAGAAGAGGUACGAACGGACCUCAUACCCAGACAAGGUACGAACUCACCUCCUACCAUUUCCGGUGCAUGUUGUACGAUUUACGAUUUUGAGAUUCUUUCGUUCAUGAUAUUGAUAUUUAUUAUUGAAAAGUGUUGGAUGGUAGACUUCGAGCUGUUUUGAAUAGAAUUUUCUGGUAUAUACCACGUAUUAAUAAAAAAAACAGACUGAGAGUAUCGUCAUUUGUCGUUCAACAGUGACACUGACCAGGUAAACAUACAUGUACACAUAAUUUGCCAUAAUUUGACAAAAUAAUUUGUAUACAUGACUUCACUAAAGAAGGAUAAACACAAUAAAUUUGAGAAUGGAAAUGGGGAAUGUGCCGAAGAGACAACAAGCCGACCAUAGAGCAGACAACAGCAGAAGGUCACCGACAGGUCUUCAAUGCAACGAGAAAUAAUUUCUCGUACCUGGAGUCGGGCCC